UACAGAGGGUGCGAGCGUUGUCCGGAAUCACUGGGCGUAAAGGGCGCGUAGGUGGCCUGGUAAGUAGGGGGUGAAAUCUCGUGGCUCAACUGCGAGGCUGCCUCCUAAAUUGUCAGGCUCGAGCAGAGUAGAGGCAGGUGGAAUUCCCGGUGUAGCGGUGGAAUGCGUAGAGAUCGGGAAGAACAUCGGUGGCGAAGGCGGCCUGCUGGGCUCUUGCUGACACUGAGGCGCGACAGCGUGGGGAGCAAACAGG
rnacentral:rRNA from 1 species